UCUGGGUGCGCUGUGUGUGUCUGGGGUGCUGUGUGUGUGUCUGGGGGUGCUGUGUGUGUCUGGGGUGCUGUGUGUGUAUCUGGGGGUGCUGUGUGUGUUUGGGUGCUGUGUGUGUUUGGGUGCUGUGUGUAUCUGAGGUGCUGUGUGUGGGUCUGGGGGUGCUGUGUGUGUGUCUGGGGGUGCUGUGUGUGUUUGGGUGCUGUGUGUAUCUGAGGUGCUGUGUGUGUGUCUGGGGGUGCUGUGUGUGUGUCUGGGGGUGCUGUGUGUGUGUCUGGGG